CAGUGUGAUGAAAAACAGGGGAAGUUGAAGCAGAUUGUACGGAAAAUGAUGAUCCAUAAGGUCUCCCUGCAUUGUCUGAAA